CCUACGGGCGGCUGCAGUGGGGAAUUUUGCGCAAUGGGCGAAAGCCUGACGCAGCAACGCCGCGUGAGGGAUGAAGGCCUUCGGAUCGUAAAACUCUGUCCUUGGUGAAGAAAAAAAUGACAGUAGCCAAGGAGGAAGCCCCGGCUAACUACGUGCCAGCAGCCGCGGUAAUACGUAGGGGGCGAGCGUUGUCCGGAUUUACUGGGCGUAAAGGGUGAGUAGGCGGUAGUAUGUGUCAGAUGUAAAAGGCUAAGGCUUAACCAUAGUUAGCAUUUGAAACUGUAUUACUUGAGUGCAGGAGAGGUAAGCGGAAUUCCUAGUGUAGCGGUGAAAUGCGUAGAUAUUAGGAGGAACACCAGUGGCGAAGGCGGCUUACUGGACUGUAACUGACGCUGAGUCACGAAAGCGUGGGUAGCAAACAGGAUUAGAUACCCUUGUAGUC
rnacentral:rRNA from 1 species